rnacentral:rRNA from 1 species
UACGUAGGGUGCGAGCGUUGUCCGGAAUUACUGGGCGUAAAGAGCUCGUAGGUGGUUUGUCGCGUUUGUCCGUGAAAACUCACAGCUUAACUGUGGGCGUGCGGGCGAUACGGGCAGACUGGAGUACUGCAGGGGAGACUGGAAUUCCUGGUGUAGCGGUGGAAUGCGCAGAUAUCAGGAGGAACACCGGUGGCGAAGGCGGCUCUCUGGACGGUGACUGACGCUGAGACGCGAAAGCGUGGGGAGCAAACAGG